rnacentral:rRNA from 1 species
AAAGAAAUCGUUAUGGGCGUAUGGCGGAUGCCUAGGCUUUCAGAGGCGACGAAGGACGUGGUAAGCUGCGAAAAGCUACGGGGGAUUGGCACAGUACGAAUUGAUCCGUAGAUAUCCGAAUGGGGCAACCCAAUACAUUGAAGAUGUAUUACUGCGCAAGCAGAGCAAACCCGGAGAACUGAAAUAUCUAAGUACCCGGAGGAAAAGAAAUCGAAGAGAUUCCGUAAGUAGUGGCGCAGCGAAAGCGGAUUAGCCCAAAGUUUAUAUAUGUUUAAUAGAACACUUUUGGAAAGAGUGGCCAUAGAGGUGAUGGCCCCGUACAUGAAAGGCAUAUAUUUAGAUGAUACAAGAGAAGGACACGUGAAACUCUGUCUGAAUAUGGGGGACCAUCCUCCAAGGCUAAAUACUCCUGAAAGACCGAUAGUGAACAAGUACUGUGAAGGAAAGGUGAAAAGCACUUCGAAUAGAAGGGUGAAAGAGAACCUGAAACCGUACGCCUACAAGCGGUCGGGCUUAUUGCUGUGACGGCGUGCCUUUUGCAUAAUGAGCCUACGAGUUAAUUUUACUAGCGAGGUUAAGUAAUUGGGUUACGGAGCCGAAGCGAAAGCGAGUCUGAAUAGGGCGAAUAGUUAGUAGGAUUAGACGUGAAACCUUGUGAUCUACCCAUGGGCAGGUUGAAGCUUGGUAACACAAAGUGGAGGACCGAACCGGUUGACGUUGAAAAGUCUUCGGAUGACCUGUAGGGGUGAAAGGCCAAUCAAACUGGGAGAUAGCUCGUACUCUCCGAAAUGCAUUUAGUGCAGCGUUGAGUUGCUUUAUUAGAGGUAGAGCUACUGAUUGGAUGCGGGGUUUCACCGCCUACCACCUCUGACAACCCGAAUGCUAAUAAAUGUUCAUCAGCAGUGAGGGCAUGGGUGCUAAGGUCCAUGUCCGAGAGGGAAAGAACCCUGACCAACAGCUAAGGUCCCUAAAUAUAUGCUAAGUUGAAAUAACGCGGUUGGACUGCAUUGACAGCUAGAUGUUGGCUUGGAAGCAGCCAUUCAUUUAAAGAGUGCGUAACAGCUCACUAGUCGAGCGGUCCGGCAUGGAUAAUAAUCGGGCAUAAGCAUAUUACCGAAGCUAUGGGAUGUAUUAAUACAUCGGUAGGAGAGCAUUCUAUCGGCGCAGAAGCAGUAUCGCGAGGUAUUGUGAUUUAUAGAAAAGAAAAAUGUGUAGGCAUAUAACGAUAAAGGGGCGAGACCCCCCUCACCGAAAGACUAAGGCUUCCCUCAGCCAUGCUAAUCAAGCUGAGGGUUAGUCGGGACCUAACGCGUACCCGAAAGGGGAAGUGGAUGGACAAUGGGUUAUUCCCAUACUUGCUCACACUAAAAGGGGACGGAUUGCCGUACUUACUGAAGACUGACGGAAUAGUUGAGACCUAGCCUACGGGCGAAGUUGUUGGUAGGGAAAAAGCAGUUCCAAGAAAAGCCGAAGUGAAGCAACCCGUACCAAAACCGACACAGGUAGUUUGAGGAGAGAAUCCUAAGGUGCUCGAGUGAAUCGUGGCUAAGGAACUAGGCAAAAUAGUCUCGUAACUUCGGAAGAAGAGACGCCAACAGAAAUGUUGGCCGCAGUGAAGAGGCCCAGGCGACUGUUUAUCAAAAACACAGGACUCUGCUGUAAAUCGAAAGAUGCCAGAGUAGG